GGAUCCAGACUUUGAUCAUGGCUCAGGAUGAACGCUAGCUACAGGCUUAACACAUGCAAGUCGAGGGGAAACGAUAUUGGAAGCUUGCUUCCGAUAGGCGUCGACCGGCGCACGGGUGAGUAACGCGUAUCCAACCUGCCCACCACUUGGGGAUAACCUUGCGAAAGUAAGACUAAUACCCAAUGAUAUCUCUAGAAGACAUCUGAAAGAGAUUAAAGAUUUAUCGGUGAUGGAUGGGGAUGCGUCUGAUUAGCUUGUUGGCGGGGUAACGGCCCACCAAGGCGACGAUCAGUAGGGGUUCUGAGAGGAAGGUCCCCCACAUUGGAACUGAGACACGGUCCAAACUCCUACGGGAGGCAGCAGUGAGGAAUAUUGGUCAAUGGGCGAGAGCCUGAACCAGCCAAGUAGCGUGCAGGAAGACGGCCCUAUGGGUUGUAAACUGCUUUUAUAAGGGAAUAAAGUGAGUCUCGUGAGACUUUUUGCAUGUACCUUAUGAAUAAGGACCGGCUAAUUCCGUGCCAGCAGCCGCGGUAAUACGGAAGGUCCGGGCGUUAUCCGGAUUUAUUGGGUUUAAAGGGAGCGUAGGCUGGAGAUUAAGCGUGUUGUGAAAUGUAGACGCUCAACGUCUGCACUGCAGCGCGAACUGGUUUCCUUGAGUACGCACAAAGUGGGCGGAAUUCGUGGUGUAGCGGUGAAAUGCUUAGAUAUCACGAAGAACUCCGAUUGCGAAGGCAGCUCACUGGAGCGCAACUGACGCUGAAGCUCGAAAGUGCGGGUAUCGAACAGGAUUAGAUACCCUGGUAGUCCGCACGGUAAACGAUGGAUGCCCGCUGUUGGUCUGAAUAGGUCAGCGGCCAAGCGAAAGCAUUAAGCAUCCCACCUGGGGAGUACGCCGGCAACGGUGCAACUCAAAGGAAUUGACGG
rnacentral:rRNA from 2 species